rnacentral:lncRNA from 1 species
CACGGAGCUGCAUGGUGACCACAAAGCGAACUAUUCUUUCGCCUUUUACUAAGAGCAUCUUCAAUAGCCGCGCUUCGCGCCGUGCUUAAAAAAUGUAUUUGCCACGCGCGCUUCGACUGGUUUAGCAUGGGGAUAGACGCUGGCUCCAACAGCUGCGCUAUAAUGCAGCGCAGCGCGCGCAGCACACACAAAUCACAUGUACAUUUUAGAAAAUAGAAGCAAAAAUGAUCAAACAAACAAAAUAAAUCAACAAUAAAUAGUCAUUACAACUCAAACAAAUAGUUUAUCGUUCGGUACAACAAAUAAUGC